AUUGAACGCUGGCGGCAGGCCUAACACAUGCAAGUCGAGCGAGCGGCGGACGGGUGAGUAAUGUCUGGGAAACUGCCUGAUGGAGGGGGAUACCUACUGGAAACGGUAGCUGAUACCGCAUACCAUCAGAUGUGCCCAGAUGGGGUUAGCUAGUAGGUGGGGUAACGGCUCACCUAGGCGACGAUCCCUAGCUGGUCUGAGAGGAUGACCAGCGACACUGGAACUGAGACACGGUCCAGACGCCGACGGGAGGCAGCAGUGGGGAAUAUGGCACAAAGGGCGCAAGCCUGAUGCAGCCAUGCCGCGGGUGGGAAGAAGGCCUUCGGGUUGUAAAGCACUUGCAGCGGGGAGGCGUUACCCGCAGAAGAAGCACCGGCUAACUCCGUGCCAGCAGCCGCGGUAAUAC
rnacentral:rRNA from 1 species